CCUAGGAAUCUGCCUGGUACUGGGGGACAACGUUUCGAAAGGAACGCUAAUACCGCAUACGUCCUACGGGAGAAAGCAGGGGACCUUCGGGCCUUGCGCUAUCAGAUGAGCCUAGGUCGGAUUAGCUAGUUGGUGAGGUAAUGGCUCACCAAGGCUACGAUCCGUAACUGGUCUGAGAGGAUGAUCAGUCACACUGGAACUGAGACACGGUCCAGACUCCUACGGGAGGCAGCAGUGGGGAAUAUUGGACAAUGGGCGAAAGCCUGAUCCAGCCAUGCCGCGUGUGUGAAGAAGGUCUUCGGAUUGUAAAGCACUUUAAGUUGGGAGGAAGGGCAGUAAGCGAAUACCUUGCUGUUUUGACGUUACCGACAGAAUAAGCACCGGCUAACUCUGUGCCAGCAGCCGCGGUAAUACAGAGGGUGCAAGCGUUAAUCGGAAUUACUGGGCGUAAAGCGCGCGUAGGUGGUUCGUUAAGUUGGAUGUGAAAUCCCCGGGCUCAACCUGGGAACUGCAUCCAAAACUGGCGAGCUAGAGUAGGGCAGAGGGUGGGUGGAAUUUCCUGUGUAGCGGUGAAAUGCGUAGAUAUAGGAAGGAACACCAGUGGCGAAGGCGACCACCUGGGCUCAUACUGACACUGAGGUGCGAAAGCGUGGGGGAGCAAACAGGAUUAGAUACCCUGGUAGUCCACGCCGUAGACGAUGUCAACUAGCCGUUGGAAUCCUUGAGAUUUUAGUGGCGCAGCUAACGCAUUAAGUUGACCGCCUGGGGGAGUACGGCCCGCAAGGUUUAAAACUCAAAUGAAUUUGACGGGGGGCCCGCACAAGCCGGUGGGAGCAUGUGGUUUUAAUUCGAAGCCAACGCGGAGAAACCUUACCAGGCCCUUGACAUCCCAAUGAACUUUUCCAGA
rnacentral:rRNA from 1 species